AUGCUCUCUCAUGCUGCUAGACUUGAACUAAUUCGCUCGGUUUUCUCGGCUAUUCCUGUUUAUUACAUGGCAAAUAUCUUGUUUUCUAAGAAAUUCAUUGCUAAACUCACGACUGUUAUAAGAAACUUCUGGUGGACAGGUGUUCGAGAGACUGACUCUAAAAAGAGUCUUUGCCUUAGGGCCUGGAAAGAUAUUUGUAAUUCUAAAACAGAAGGUGGCUUGGGUAUUAGGAAUCUUAAAGCAAUUAAUAAAAGCCUCAUUCUCUCAGCUGCUUGGAGGUUAGCUAAAGCCCCUUCUUCUCAUCUAUACCUUGCGCUUAAGGCUAAAUACUUCCCGGAUACUUCAAUUUGGAGAGCCACUACAACCCCUCCUAAAUCUGCUUUUUGGGCCUCUAUUUUGAAAAUGUUGCCUAAGCUGACAUGUCAUGCUUUUUAA
rnacentral:rRNA from 1 species